GAUGAAGAACGUAGCGAAAUGCGAUAAGUAGUGUGAAUUGCAGAAUUCAGUGAAUCAUCGAAUCUUUGAACGCACAUUGCGCCCCUUGGUAUCCCGAGGGGCAUGCCUGUUCGAGCGUCAUUUCACCACUCAAGCCUGGCUUGGUGUUGGGCGACGUCCCCUUUGGGGACGCGCCUCGAAACGCUCGGCGGCGUGGCACCGGCUUUAAGCGUAGCAGAGUCUUUCGCUUUGGAAGUCGGGGCCCCGUCUGCCGGAAGACCUACUCGCAAGGUUGACCUCGGAUCAGGCAGGGAUACCCGCUGAACUUAAGCAUAUCAAUAAGCGGAGGA
rnacentral:misc_RNA from 1 species